AUGGGAGGUGAGCGAGAUGUCAUUGUUGUCUUGAUGAAGUUAUACGUUGGUGACGGCCGGGGAUUUGCCAAGCUUAACAAAGCCCAUAUUGUGUUGAUCCCAAAGAAACCGGAUGCUGAAGUAGUGGGGGAUUUCCGGCCCAUCAGCUUAACUCACGGUGCUGCGAAAAUCUUCGCCAAGAUGCUUGCUAUCCGGGCCAGAAGGAGGAUGAAGGAAGUAGUUGCUGCCAACAAGUCGGUGUUCAUUCUUGACCGAAAUCUGCAUGACAACUUUCUGCUUGUUUGCCAAGUUGCGAGGAAGAUUCAUGGAAGGAAGGAAGCCGGCGUGUUCCUUAAGUUAGACAUCUCCAAAGCUUUUGAUACGCUUGAAGGAAAUAUGCCCUAG
rnacentral:rRNA from 1 species